rnacentral:rRNA from 1 species
UACAGAGGUGCCAAGCGUUAGGCGGAAUCACUGGGCUUAAAGCGCGUGUAGGUGGACGGGUAAGUAUCUUGUGAAAUCCCACGGCUCAACCGUGGAACUGCUGGAUAUACUGCUUGUCUUGAGGCACUUAGGGGCAGCUGGAACAAAUGGUGGAGCGGUGAAAUGCGUAGAUAUCAUUUGGAACGCCAAAGGCGAAAGCAGGCUGCUGGGAGGGAUCUGACACUGAGACGCGAAAGCCAGGGGAGCAAACGGG